rnacentral:misc_RNA from 1 species
GAUGAAGAACGCAGCGAAAUGCGAUAACUAAUGUGAAUUGCAGAAUUCAGUGAAUCAUCGAGUCUUUGAACGCACAUUGUGCCCCCUGGUAUUCCGGGGGGCAUGCCUGUCCGAGCGUCAUUGCUGCCCUCAAGCACGGCUUGUGUGUUGGGCUCCGUCCCCCCGGGGACGGGCCCGAAAGGCAGCGGCGGCACCGAGUCCGGUCCUCGAGCGUAUGGGGCUUUGUCACCCGCUCUGUAGGCCCGGCCGGCGCCAGCCGACAACCCAUCAUCCUUUUCAGGUUGACCUCGGAUCAGGUAGGGAUACCCGCUGAACUUAAGCAUAUCAAUAAGCGGAGGA